GCGCCGGUGGUGUAAGGCGAACAUCGCUGCCCGGAAGGCAGAAGAUGCGGGUUCGAGUCCCGCUUGGCGCA
rnacentral:tRNA from 1 species